rnacentral:rRNA from 1 species
GACGAACGCUGGCGGCGUGCCUAACACAUGCAAGUCGAACGGGGGGAACAUGAAGUAUUUCGGUACGGAAUGCGCCCCUAGUGGCGAACGGGUGAGUAACACGUGGGCAACCUGCCCCAGACUGGGGGAUAACAUUGUGAAAACAGUGCUAAUACCGCAUGACAGGGUUCCGGGCAUCCGGGACCCUUGAAAGGAGAAAUCCGGUCAGGGAUGGGCCCGCGUCCAAUUAGCUAGUUGGCGGGGUAACGGCCCACCAAGGCGACGAUUGGUAGCCGAACUGAGAGGUUGAUCGGCCACAUUGGGACUGAGACACGGCCCAGACUCCUACGGGAGGCAGCAGUGGGGAAUAUUGGGCAAUGGGCGAAAGCCUGAUCCAGCAACGCCGCGUGAGGGAUGACGGCCUUCGGGUUGUAAACCUCUUUCAGUAGGACGAAGCGCAAGUGACGGUACCUACAGAAGAAGCACCGGCCAACUACGUG